AUGCUUGCUUUGGCAGCACGUAUACUAAAACUGGAAUGAUAUAGAGAAGAAUAGGUAGGCCACUGUAAAAAGAUGACAUGCAAAUUCAUGAAGUAUUCCAUAUUUUU
ensembl:snRNA U6 U6 spliceosomal RNA